rnacentral:rRNA from 1 species
UACGUAGGCGGAAAAUUAAGUCAGUAGUGAAAUCCUGCAGCUUAACUGUAGAACUGUUAUUGAUACUGGUUUUCUCGAAUAUAGUUGAGGUAAGCGGAAUGUGUAAUGUAGCGGUGAAAUGCUUAGAUAUUACACAGAACACCGAUUGCGAAGGCAGCUUACUAAGCUAUGAUUGACGCUGAGGUACGAAAGCGUGGGGAGCGAACAGGAUUAGAUACCCUGGUAGUCC